AUUAAUAGAUAUUUUCUUUAAAUUUGAAGAAUUUGGCGGUAGUUUAGUCUUGUUAGAGGAACCUGUUUUUGAAUCGAUACACCACGCGGAAUCUUACUUAUUUUAUUUAGUUUAUAUACCGUCAUUAUCAGAUAAUUUUAAGAAAAUUAAUUAUUACGGUUUAAGUAUGUUAAGUCAAAUUAGAUCAAGGUGUAGCUUAUGAAUAAGUUAAAAUGGGUUACAAUAAAAUUUAUUUAUUACGAAGUAACUGCGAGAAACGCGUUAUAAAGGGGGAUUUAAUUGUAAUUUGGAUUUAAUAAGUGCUAAAGAUAUAAGCUCUAAACUAU
rnacentral:rRNA from 1 species